GAUGAACGCUGGCGGCGUGCCUAAUACAUGCAAGUCGAGCGAACAGACGAGGAGCUUGCUCCUCUGACGUUAGCGGCGGACGGGUGAGUAACACGUGGAUAACCUACCUAUAAGACUGGGAUAACUUCGGGAAACCGGAGCUAAUACCGGAUAAUAUAUUGAACCGCAUGGUUCAAUAGUGAAAGACGGUUUUGCUGUCACUUAUAGACGGAUCCGGGCCGCAUUAGCUAGUUGGUAAGGUAACGGCUUACCAAGGCAACGAUGCGUAGCCGACCUGAGAGGAUGAUCAGCCACACUGGAACUGAGACACGGUCCAGACUCCUACGGGAGGCAGCAGUAGGGAAUCUUCCGCAAUGGGCGAAAGCCUGACGGAGCAACGCCGCGUGAGUGAUGAAGGUCUUCGGAUCGUAAAACUCUGUUAUUAGGGAAGAACAAAUGUGUAAGUAACUAUGCACGUCUUGACGGUACCUAAUCAGAAAGCCACGGCUAACUACGUG
rnacentral:rRNA from 1 species